rnacentral:rRNA from 1 species
CCUACGGGAGGCAGCAGUAGGGAAUCUUCCACAAUGGGCGAAAGCCUGAUGGAGCAACGCCGCGUGGGUGAAGAAGGUCUUCGGAUCGUAAAACCCUGUUGUUAGAGAAGAAAGUGCGUGAGAGUAACUGUUCACGUUUCGACGGACUCUAACCAGAAAGCCACGGCUAACUACCUGCCAGCAGCCUCGGUAAUACGUAGGUGGCAAGCAUUAUCCGGAUUUAUUGGGCGUAAAGGGAACGCAGGCGGUCUUUUAAGGCUGAUGGGAAAGCCUUCGGGUUAAACGGAGUAGAGCAUUGGAAACUGGGAGACUUGAGUGGAGAAGAGGAGAGCGGAACUCCAGGUGUAGCGGUGAAAUGCGUAGAUAUAUGGAAGAACACCAGUGGCGAAAGCGGCUCUCUGGUCUUUAACUGACGCUGAGGUUCGAAAGCGUGGGUAGCAAACAGGAUUAGAUACCCUUGUAGUC